rnacentral:rRNA from 1 species
UACAGAGGUCUCAAGCGUUGUUCGGAAUCACUGGGCGUAAAGGGUGCGUAGGCCGCACGGUAAGUCAGAGGUGAAAUCCCGGAGCUCAACUUCGGAAUUGCCUCCGAUACUGCCGUGCUUGAGGACUGGAGAGGAGUCUGGAAUUCACGGUGGAGCAGUGAAAUGACGUAGAUAUUGUGAGGAAGCACUAGUGGCGAAGGCGAGACUCUGGACAGUUCCUGACGCUGAGGCACGAAGGCCAGGGGAGCAAACGGG